GACGAACGCUGGCGGCGUGCUUAACACAUGCAAGUCGAACGGAAAGGCCCUGCUCUUGUGGGGUGCUCGAGUGGCGAACGGGUGAGUGACACGUGAGUAUCCUGCCCUUGACUUUGGGAUAACUUCAGGAAACUGGGGCUAAUACCGGAUAGGAGCUCCUGCUCCACGGGGGGGGUUGGAAAGUUUCGGCGGUUGGGGCUGGAAUAGCGGCUUACGCGCUUGUUGGGGGGGUAGGGGAUUACCAAGGGUUUGACGGGUAGCCUGCCUGAGAGCUUGGCCGGGGUCCUUGGGCCUGCGGUAGGCCCCAGUCUCCAACGGGCGGCAGAGGUGGGGAGUAUUGCACAGUGGGCCGACGCCUGAUGCAGCAACGCUGCGUGCGGGAUGCCGGCCUUCGGGGUGUAAACCUCUGUCGCCGGUGACGAAGCGUGCGUGACGGUAACUGGUAAAGAAGCACCGGCUAACUACGUG
rnacentral:rRNA from 1 species